rnacentral:tRNA from 1 species
AUUUGUAACUCUUUGAGCAUUUGAUUUGAAAUCAGAUUGAUUGUUUUUAUUAACAAUACAAAUU